rnacentral:tRNA from 1 species
UCCCUGGUGGCUCAGAGGUAAAGAAUCUGCCUACAAUGCAGGAGACACAGGUUUGAACCCUGAGUGGGGAA